rnacentral:rRNA from 1 species
UGGUGGAGUGAUUUGUCUGGUCAAUUCCGUUAACGAGCGAGACCAACACUUGCUAAAUAAACGGGACAACCUUCCGCUAUGCGAUGAAAGGCGACGGGCAGUGCGGCCUAACGGCUUCGCUCCGGUCGCUGGGAUUCGUUGAUGAGUUGUUCGCGUUUUCUUAGAAGGACUAUCGGCUUCAAGCCGAAGGAAGUUGUUGGCAAUAACA